rnacentral:lncRNA from 1 species
UGACCGCCUCAGCCUCCCAAAGUGCUGGAAUUACCACUGAGCAUUUACUAUGUUCCAGGCCCUGUGCUAAGUGCAUUGCCUGCUGCGUCUCACCCUUCAGUGGGAGUAGCCUCAGCUGCUAAUCAUGGUGAAAUAAAUGUCACUGCAAGUUUAAGGAAGACUAUGCACUAUUACCACUGAGCAUUUACUAUGUUCCAGGCCCUGUGCUAAGCGCAUUGCCUGCUGCGUCUCACCCUUCAGUAGGAGUAGGUAAGUAGUAUUAGUCCCACUAUACAGAUGGAAAAACAGAAGCUCAUGGAAGUGUAGUAGUAACAUGGUUAAGGUUACAUUGCUAGUCAGUGGUGGAACCAGGAUUUCCAUCCAGGUCUGCCUGUCACUAUUACAACUGUCACUAUCAGUUGCUGACAGAGAGAGAAUGGGUGACCUUGUUAUCACUGAAUUCCCAAGUGCUUUCUCACUGCCACCCCACCCCCCUGUUCUUCAUCAGCCUUUGGGUGACACAAACCCACUGAGAGGCCUGCCGGAGCCACACUGUUGAGACCCAGUGGCUGGUGAAGGGCGUCUUCUGCAGUGGCAGGCGCCAUGAGUGCAGAGUCCUGGGCUGCCCACACGGGCCCUGCUGUGGGGCCUCCAUCAAGUGAUGGAAGCUCCCUGAGCCUGCUCUGAGCCUGCUCCCAACCUCAACAUGAGGAAAAUAAUGCUGUCUCCACUCACCUAACAGGAGUGAGUGAAAUCAUUGUGAAACACUGAGGCACAAAAUAAGCAUGAACGCUUUGAUGAAUUGGAGUGGUCAUGAUAUAAAAGACUUGACAAACCACAGGAGGAAGUUGAGAGAUCCCCUUGCAUAGGGAGACAGUGAUGCUGGUUCCAUUUCAGCUAGAAUGAAGGGUGAGAAGGCCCUGGCACCAGGGCUGCCUAAGAACAUGGGGGUGGAUCAUGUCUGAUUGCAUAAACCAGUAGGGCUUUCUGGAGCAACUCCCAAGCAGAAGCCUCUCCCAGUGGAUUCUCCGCCACCGCAUCUGCCCCUGAUGUGUAGCUUUCAGUCUGUGACAAGAGUAUUUGGGGUUGGAUUCAGUAGACUGGACUGAGUUUCAAAUCUCAGUUCUAUUUAUGACCUGAAGACAACCCUGACCUUCAGUUUCCUCAUCGGUAUAACAGAAUAGCAAUACCUGGUCCAUGUGAUUGUUGUGAAUAUUAUAUAUGAAAGAACUGGACAAAUCACAUUUGAGCACUUACUAUACUCUUGAAGAAUUUGAACUAGUUUAACUCUAUUCUCCAGUUCGGGUGCUCCCCUCCGCAGUAGGAGGAGAAGAGGUUUGAGGGAAGGAGGACAGAUGACAUUUGCAGGAAUUUGGCCAGGCAUUGUGCUAUGUGUUCUCUGUACAGAGACUCAUCUGACCCUUCCACAGCUGCCCUGUGAGCCAUGUACUCUUAUCCUUACUCUACACUUGCACGCCUGGUGCUCAGAGAGGGGAAGCUAUCUACCUCAGUGAACCUAGGCCUGACACCAAAAAUCUAUAUCUUUUAUAGACACCCACAAUCGAUUAUAACACCCACAAUCUAUCAAAACUACAAUUUAUUUUUUUCUGGCUGACAAUGCAAGAAAAUCUCAAGGUGGAAAUUCAUGCAGAUGAGAUAAGUUUCAAACACAAUCUCCUAUUAUUCAAUUACCCUGUUAUCCCCCAUUAAGCCAUCUCUUAGAUGACCCCUGGUUACCACUGUCCUUCUUAUCUCAGUCUACCUCCCACCCAGGCUUAUGCUGGAGAAGCACAAAAGUACAAGAGACCUUAGAGAUCGUUUGAUCCAGCUCCUGCUCUAAGAGCAAGGAAACUGAAGCCCAGAAUGAGUUCCAAAGCCGCCCAGUAGAAGCCUGCUCCUGAGGGUUGUCCCCUGCCCCCUGCCCCACUCUUGCCCUGGGAAACCCGUGCUUCCUCCCCUCUUGCCCCUUUCUCAGAAGCAGGCGGCAGAGACACAACACAAAGGACAGAGCGCAUCACUAUAUUUUCCUUUGAACUGUACAGCUGGUUCAUUUUACCCACUUUUUUCUUCUAGAUCUAGGAUAUCUGAUUUUGAAGAAAUGAAUGUUUUCAUAGAAAGUGGAAAUAAUAACUCCUUUUGCUAAAAAGAAUGCAGAGGGAGGGGAUGACCCAAGAAUUGAUGGUGCAUUGCAUUUUGUGUAACGUUCUAAACAAGUAAGCGAGGUCCUUUCCUGCCCGGGCCUGAGCUUCUUCUGCACCUGCCUCAGUCAGCUGCGGUGCUGUUCUGGCUGCAUCCCUUCUUCCUAUGGCUCCAGCCAACCCUUCUUCCUUGGGUCCUGGGCCUUGCUCCCAGGGCCAGCAACCUUCUACUGAACCUCCAGCCAUGAUGGUUCAUUCCAGCUCCCUCUCAUUCUUUCUACUUCUUGGGUUAUUUCUCACAUUCUAUAUGAGGUAGUUGAGCAUUCUGUUCUAUUUUGAGGCUGCGCUCCAUCACAGAAUAAAAAUUGCUCAAAAUCAGACACAUCUGCAUUUCAAAGCUAAUUCCUCCAUGACUACUGACAGUUGUGUGACUCUGGGCAACUCGGUCUCCAGACCUCAGUUUCAUCAUCUGUAAAAUGGGGGAAAUAGUAUCUCUUUAGAAGGUCUUAUGUCAGAAUCAACCAAAUAGUGUCAUUAAAGAGUUUUGCAUAUGAUAAGGGCACAAUAGAUGGUUGCUUUUCUUCUUCUAGCAGGCUGAUUAUCCUAAAUCUUAUACUCCUGCUAAGUCUAGUUGUGGCGCCCCCAGGAAUCCACCUGGAUAGCGCCAAGUCGAAGUCAUCUUUAUGUCACCCAGAGAUCUGUCAGGGUAUGCCUAGCAUCAUUCUGCCCUACAUGUGGCUAAGUGACACUGCUGCAGCUCCAUGAUAUUGCAUGCACCACCUUGUCUGGAGCCAGACCGGGCAUGCCUCCAAUGUCAUAAUAAUCUUCAGGGUGUGAUUAUCACAGCACACAGAGGCCUGCCAAGGCCCUAGAAGAAAGUUAUGAUAGGGUGGAAAAGAAACGUGCCUUGGAAACUUGGGUUCAGUGUCCUGCUGUGUCACUUACUAUCUCUGUGUCCUUGGGAAAGUUCUUUAGAUUCUCUCCAUUUUAACUGUAGAAAGCGAUAGAAAUUUCUUCCUCCCUCCUCCUCUACCCUACCCCAUUUCCCUUCAACAAAUAUGAAUUAGGCAUCUAGGCACUGGGGAAGCAAAAGCGACUAGAAACAGAUAAAAUCCCUCCACGAUGACAUCAUGGAGCUCAUUGUCUGAUGAGGUAGAGGUAUGUUCAUCAAAUAAAUAAAUGCAAGACUGCAGCCCUCAGGACACUUUAUCUGAUAGGUUCAUGGUGCCAGUGCAUGUCUCAUGGUGCAAUUUGAACCUGUCAGUGAGGUCAUGGAAUGCAUUUUGAUGAAGUUGUGACUUCAUAGCAACCUGAAAGACAAAAAAGCAGUUACCAGCUAAGAGGGGUGAAAGAGCUUUCCAGGCCAAGGACGGGGUUAGUGUAAAGUCUUAGUAGAUGGAGACAAGGGAUGCUGGAGGAACUAGAAGGCUGGGGGAGUGCUGGGCAGAGACGAUGGCUGGAGGGGCCAGCAGACACAGUGUCUCACAAGCCUUUUAGGCCUUAUGAAGGAUUUUGGUCAUUAGUCUCUUAGGAGCAAUUGGUAGCCCUCAUAUGGUUUUAAGAGGAGGGGAUAGACAUUCAAUAAGUAAUUUUUAGAAGAAUAAAUGAGUCUGUUAAUCACUUAUCUCCCAAAUCACUUAUCAAAUUAAGUAGUUAGUCACUUAUCAAGAGCUUGAAUGUACGGGACACAGCAAAGGAUGUUUUGGUAGAAAAAAGGGAUGGGAAAAAUCCGGAAGGUGAGGUGCUGUCUUAGAGUUGAGGCCCAGACACUGUGUCACAGUGGGGUCCCUGGGCCCUGCGGGAAGAUCUGAGUACUGCGCACUUGGCAUGGGUGUGUGGUUCAAGACAGAUAUGCUGAGGAAGAAAGGGGAGGAUAUUCCAGUGUCUUUAACAUCAAAGACGCUUUGCUUACUUCAUGACUUGAGAUCAGGGUUAACCAUUCUUGAAUAUGUUGCAGGUGGAAAAAGAGGAAAACCUAGUGAUUAUUUGAGGCCUUUACUGAGCCAGUCACAUCUCCUAAACCAGUUAGAGGAGUUCAUUAUCUGACAUGGUAAAAUGCAGAUGUCCAAACUGAAAUGCAAUUCAACCCUUAUAAAGACAUUUUCUGAUCCUGACAUUUACUGACCCUGACUUUCUAUGUCUGUAAAUUGGGAAUAAUGAUACCUAUCUCACUGGGUUAAAUGAGAACAUGUACAUACUGUGCUCAGCAUAGUGUCUGGGAUCUGUGGCAGCAGCUAUUUUCAUGGCAAUUAUUCUGUAUGUAUGACAUAACUUUAAAACUUCUCUAGGGACCAACAAGGCAAUGCAAUCAAACACCAGCACAGCCAAUAAGGGGCAAUACGGAGUGGUGGGGACUGUGGCAAACUGGAGAAUCCUUACCUGUCCAAAGAGGGCAACAGCUCCUCUUUAGUUUCAGCUAUUAGCUACUGAGCAAGAACUCAAAACAAGUGCUUUCUGACUUUUCCAGAAAUGCUGGAAAUCCUAAUGCAUAAUUUUGUUAUCCAAUUCAAAUAAAAAACUGCAAACAAUAACAACCACCAGAAUUAGCAACACUAUGGAACACAAAAAACAGGUUCUGGAGCAAAGCUAGGCUGAAAGCAGCUAAAACAAAGUUUUACAAAGACCAAGCUGUUCUGGGAAGUCAGAUCUGCCUCACAGAAAAGACUCUAAAAGCAUGUGAAAGGUCAUAAUAAAAUCAGGUGCAGGCCAAGCGCAGUGGCUCAUGCCUGUAAUCCCAGCACUUUGGGAGGCCGAGGCGGGCAGAUUACCCGAGGUUGGGAGUUCGAGACCAGCCUAAACAACAUGGAGAAACCCUGUCUCUAGUGAAAAUACAAAAUUAGCUGGGCACGGUGGCACAUGCCUAUAAUCUCAGCUACUCAGGAGGCUGAGGCAGGAGAAUCGGUUGAACCCAGGAGGCAGAGGUUGUGGUGAGCCGAGAUCGUACCAUUGCACUCCAGCCUGGGCAACAAGAGCAAAACUCCGUCUCACAAAAAAAAAAAAAAAAAAGAAAAAGAAAAAGAAAAAGAAAAAAAAAUCAGGUUUGAAGGAAGCGUUCCAAAUACAUUCUGUGAAAUGGCAGCAUUGUUAGAACAUGCAGGCACCAACCUCCCUCGGGAAGGAUUUUGAAGAGGACAAUGCUCAUUGGGUUUUAGGUACUGGGGCAAUUACUCAAAUGUAAUAAUCUUGAACACACCCAGCUUCUGGGAGCCUGGAAGGUGUUUGCCGAGCUGCUUUUAGGGACAGUGAUACCAGCAAUAUCCACUGGGGGUCUCUCUCAUACAAAUAAUGGCAUAGCUGUUCCCAGCAGUUAGAGGAAAUGGCAGCCCUGGGACCUGGGGGGAUCCAAGGGCAGUCCACGUCUCCAUGGGAAGAUGGCAGCAGCUCUGUGGCUCUUCACAGUGAAGUGACGACCUGUUGUUAAAUGUUUAACAGAAGCCAAACUUGGCUUUUAGGGGACAGCUCUCCUGCCAGCCAGCCAGCUUGCCAAAGGAAUCUUUCCUGUGCACAGAGAGCACACUGGGCUUGGAGACAUUCUCUGCACAGUGGGAUUUGGUGAGAAUCUUAAGAGUUUCUGUUCAAGGUCAGUUUGUCUCUCUCAGACCGUGGCACCAAGGAACCUGCUGCUACCCUACUUGAUGGGGCUGAACAGGAGAUAUAUUCCACGCUUCACAAUUGCCACCUUUCGGGAGCGGCUUCACCAGGUGAAGAAGCCCUGGUUUAGAGAUGAGAUCUGGGUUUGGGUUCUGGUUCUGCCCCUCAUUAGCCAUGUGACCUUGAGCAAGCCUUAUCCUUUCUCGUUCUCGGUUUCUUCAUCUGUAAGAUUAGGAAUACUCAUCUCUAAUACUAAUCUCAAAAAUUGUUUUGAGUGUUAAAUAGGAACGAAUGCAUAUGAAACUUUAGAGAAGGGCUUGGCAGAUGUUUUCUAUGAAGGGACAGAUAGAAACUAUUUUUGGCUUUAUUGACCUUACAGGCUCUGUCUCAACUACAGAAUUCCACGAUUGUAGUAGCGUGGAAGCAGCCAUAGGCAAUUCAUCAAGAGAUCAGCAGGGCUGUGUCCACUAAAACUUUAUUUUACAAAAACAGGCAGUGGGCUGGGUCUUGCUCAUGGGCUGUACUUUGCCUAUCCUCACAGCCUGUUUCUGUGAAGCCCGUGAGCUCAGGAUGGUUUUAUGUUUCUAAAGGGUUGUAAGGAAAAAACAAAGAAAAGGUGACAGUGCCCAGAGCGAGUAUUUACCACCGGCUUCUUGGAGAAGCUGGCUGGCUCCGCUCUAGAGCAUUGCAGGAAAGUCAGCCCAGGAGGCAGGCAGCUGUGUCCCUGAGUAUCAGGGGGCCUGCCUGGUAAGUCACAAUGAAACAGACAGUGGCCAGAUGACCCCUGGGCCCUAUCCAGCUCCAGGGGCUAGGGUCCACAUGACUCUGAUGACCGAGCUCAGGGGCUAGAGGAGGGAAGGGAAAUGGCCCCCUAGUUCUCUUUUCAGUUGUCUAUUUCAGAUGGUCCUUAUGAAAGAGGAUCAGCAAAGCUUCCAUCAGAAAAUGAACCAAUAAUCAAGUGAAUGGGGCUUUCGUUUCCUGAAUUGUCUCUAGCCUGUGAGGCUGUGCUUCCAUAUGGAACUUCUGAGUUCUCUACGAACUCGAACAAUGAGUCAUGGGCGAGCCCAGGACUCCCACCCACUUGGAGUCAUGGGGCUCUGACAUGGAGACAAGACCACAGGGUUUCUGUCAGGCCAGAGCCCUGACCCCUCAGCUAAGAUGUUUCUUCUUUGUUCUAGAUUCAGUCAUAUAAGCAGAGGCAGCAGGUACUAGGCCUCAGAGUAAUAGUCCCUGAAGAAAAUAAAGAGAAAGUCUGUCUGAGAAAAGCCAGUUGUGCCAGUUAAAGAAUGACCUAUGGCCACAAUGCCUUACUGGAGGGUGCUUGGGAGCCCAUGUCCUCAUGUCUGUUGUAUCGGGUUAGGGAGAUCCUGGUGCAUUUCAGUGGGGAGGGGGUUGCUGCUGGUCGUGUUUUCACUCCUUCUCUCUCCUUCCCCAGUGACCCCAAGACAAAAUGCUGUUAGGUAAGUGGGGUCUGCUUAGCCCCACUAAGUUCCCCCAUCCACCAUUAGGAAUCAGUGGUAUUGUUAUAGUCUACCAGGACCGACCUGGUGCUGCUCAGAACCAGGGGCUCAAGGCAGGGCCUCCCUUCAUCUUCUUAAAUUAUUCUCUAGCAGCUCUGAGUCUCCCAAAGAUUGGUCCUAGAGAAAAGACUAUGUCAUUUACUGCUUUUUCUGAUGGUAAAAACAUGCAUAUUUACUGCAGAAAAUUUGAAAAAUAGAGAAAUGUGUAAAGAAGAAAACGUACAAAAUAACUUUAGACUCAAAACCAAUCUGAUUAAAUCAGGAAAUCAUUAUUUAUUGAGCACCUACUAUGUGCCAGCCACUGUUGUUCUUGGUGCUGGGGACAUAGCAGUGAAAAAAAAACAAAGUCCUCCCCUUCGUGGAGCCUAUAUUUCAGUAGGGACAGUCAGUACAGUACAGGAAGGGGCUGGGCUGAUGGAACAGGAUGCCUUUUUUGAUAGGGUGGUCAGGACAAGAGGAAGCAAGGGAUGCAGCUAUUUGGGGAAGAGUGUUUCCAGCAGAAGGAAGAAGACCUGCCCAGGUGUCGGAUAAGAGCCUGCUUGGUGCAUUCAGGGAUACGAAGGAGGCCAGCGUGGCUGAGAUGAGGUAGGGGCAGCCGGGGUGAGAACAGGUGGGACUUGCCGGCCAUGAAGAGGACCUUGGAUUGCUGUUGAGUGAAAUGGAAAGCCAAAUGUAGGGUCUUGAACAGAAGAGGGACAUGAUGAGCCUUAUGUUUUGAAAUGAUCAUUCUGGACACCAGAUGGAAAAUAGACAGGGGCUGGGGGUGGGGUUGGCAAGGGGAGAAGCUUGGAAGCCAUUUGGUUAUUGCGAAAGUCACACAAAGCUGUGAAAGCAGAGCUGGCCUGGUUGAAGGAAGGGUGGAGGUGGGGGGAGGGCCGGCAUUUCCUCCCACUGAGCCUCUGCCCUUCCCUUUUCCUGCUCUCUGAGGUUCCACCAUGGGACCCCAGGGUACCUAGGAUUACAAUUUGAAAGCUAUUGGACUAGAGGUUCUCUAAGGGCCCUUCCAGCUUUGCCUCCUGUGCUCUUGUGUUUCAGGACCAUGCUGAUUCUGUGGGACCAGGCCCGGGCUCUACCAGCCAGGCCUCUGAACAUGUCAACUUGAGAACUGAACAGGUUCAGGGUCUAGGAAGGGGAGACAUUUCAAAAUUUUAAUUAAAAAAUAUUUUUAACGUUUAAAUUUUUGUAGAGACAGGGUCUUCCCAUGUUGCCCAGGCUGGUCUCAAAUUUCUGGGCUCAGGUGAUCCUCCCGCCUUGGCCUCCCAAAAUAUUGGGAUUACAGACAUGAGCCAUGAGAUUUGGAAACUUAAUUCAGCUCCCACAUACUAAACGUGGCCAGCCCUGUGUGGGGAUUGUAAGAGGGGAUAAGUAAGAGGAAAUGUCUGCUCCAAGAAACUCACUGGCUGGGAUGGGAACUAGGGAAUCACACAAAUGGCCCAGCCCAAAGUCUGAGAGGCCCCGGCCCCUCCCUGCCUGGCCUUUUUUCCAUGUGGCCCCUGAGCCAGUGGUUCCCAAACUGGGCAGGUCAUGGGGUCAUCGAGGAACUUCAGAAUAUGCAGAUGCCCAGACUGUGCCCUCAAAGAUUCAAAUUCAGUUAGUCGAGGGUGGGUGGGGCCUGGGAAUCUGUUCAGACAAAGGCCUGGCCUGAAGCCUGGGCUGGAGGGUUCAGUCCAGACAGAAGAACAGAGACUGAUGAGAGGGCUUCUGCCAGCUUCACCAAGCCCGUGCUAGGCAGGAUGUGGAAAUCAAGCCUGUCUUCCAGUGGGGCACGGGGGUGGGGAGCUGGAGGAGGGGGUGGCAGCUCCUUUAUCAGCUGUCCCCAUCAGAGGCCCUUCUCCCAGGAAGGAAUGUUUAAAAAACUCCCAGGAAGGAAUUGCUGGGUUUGGAGACUAUGAGAAUUCCCCAUCUCCCCCAAUCUCCUCAGCCACCUCAAAUCAACCAGCCCGUCUCCCCAUGUUUGGGUUAACUCCUUAUUGGCUCGGAAUGUCUCGCCUGGGUUGACUACUGAUCUGUGAGAUCGCUUAGUGGCCUGAAAUAUUUCCAGAAUACAAGCAACACUGACAAAAAUAUUCUUGUAGGGCCCCACAAAUCUCACUGAGAAAGAACCCCUACAGGUGGAGAGGAGUGUGGGGUAUGCAGACUGGAAGGUGGGACCCUGAUUCAUUCCAGAACUGGAAGGAAAUCAGACAUUUCCAAACAGGAGAGAGAUGGGAAGCCGGAGGAAGGAGCAGGAGGAGGGAAGAGAAUGAAUCUUAUGUGAAUGAAUGGUAAUUUUCUCUCAGUUACUGGGAAGAAAAAAAAAUAACAAAAUCAGACCUUGGUCUGGUCCACUAAAAAGAAUUCUCUGAGUCAGACUUCUUUCAUGGAAGUUGUGAACUUUAUCCUCUGGCAGCCAUUUAUCUAAUAUUAAACCCCUUAACCUUCCUAAUUGUUCUCUUUCAGUAUCAGCUGGUUUCAUAUUAACCUUUCAGUCUUUCCCAUAAUGCAGUUACCUCCAACUCCCGCCAGACCCAAUUCAGAGCUGCCAUCAGGUCAGACCUUUGCCUGCUCUUGGCAACACGUCCCCCUGUCCUGCUCCUCUGCAACCUGCCCCUCUUUUUCUUCAUGUGCUGUGAAGGCACCAUGUGGAUGGGUGUUCAACUUCUGGAUUGGGGAUGCACAGAGCCUGAGGGACACACUUUGCAAACCUGCACCUUGCACUUUUGGGUUCUGGCCUGCAAGGUCUCCUUUAUUCUUUUGGACCAAGGCUGUCCCUGGGAGAGGGCAGCCGCCGGCCUGUCAGAGCAAAUCAGCCUCAGGCGGUUUCUGCGGCUCUGGUAUUUGAGCUUUGUUUUCCCUCUCUCCCGGGAAGAACUCAUUGAAAUAGUUUCUCUGGGAAAGACAAAGCGUCUCGCCCAGAUGCUGAAGGAUCACUUGGUAACUGCCUGUCUUGGUUUCCCGUUGUGCCCAUGAAGGCGCCAUCAGCUCUAAAGCUGACCUGUGGUUCCGUCUCCAAACAGCUAACCCAGACGUCACCCCCUUGCAGCCAGCCGCACAGCCUGAGUUGGAGUUCUGGCCUCUCCUAGCAGUGAGUGACAGUGUUGGAGGGGCCUUGGACACCUUGGGUAAUUGCUAACUAAAUAUGAGCAGUAGGGGAAGGUCUUCUGGUCCACGGCAGAGCCAACGGGGCACUUCCUCUUCUCUUUUCUAGUCAGGGUAGAAAGCUAGAAAGAAUCCUAAAAAUCACUAUCCAAGUCCCCAUUGUGUGGGGACAGAGGCCUGGCCUGAAGCCUAGGCUGGAGGGUUCAGUCGGAAGCAGAAGCCGGGAGACUGCAUGAGAGGGUUCCUUCCAGCUUCACCAAGCCCGUGCUGCGCGGGAUGAAGAAAGUCAAGCCUGUCUUCCAGUGGGGCCCUGAGGUGGGGGAGCUGGAGGAUAGGGUGGCAGCUUUUUUAUCAGCUGUCCCCAAAAGAGGCCCUUCUCCCAGUUGCCACGGACCAAAGCUCCUCCUGGGAGCUCCAGCCUGUCUGUUCAAUGUUUGCCUUGCGCCUUUUCCUGGUGAGGCCACCCCCGGCACCAUCUCAGGCCUCAGAAGGACGACCUCACUGAAACAGCCCUUAGGUUGGGAAAGAAGCAAGCCCUCCGCGCCCCGUCCAAGUCUCUCAACUGGGCACGAGCACACACAGACGCCCAGGCCCUGUCCCUGCGCCAGAAUGGCCGCUCGCGUUUCCAGGCACGAUGCCCCUUUCCAUGAGUGCACAGAGCCCUGGGCUGAGCUGGGGGCCGAGCUCCACGCUCUCUGAGCAGCUCUGAGCGGCACGCCAAAGAAGGUCUUUCAGAUGGGCUCUGGGAUGUGGAACCAUGGCGUCCAGCCCUAGCGUCGACUCCACACUAGAGGCACCCUGACUUUCGCCCCCUUCUUACCUGAGUAUCAGCUUACUUCCAUCUGGGGACUGAAUAUGGGGCAGAUUCCAGAAAAAGGAGGUUGGGGCACCAAAACCAACACCAACUCUGCCAACGGAGCCAGCACAGCUAUUUGUCUCCAACCACAGGCCGCAAGGGAAGUUCACGGGCUCGGCACCCCCAGGUCCCGGAUGUAAGGAUAUUGCCCGUUAGACAAAGGAAAGGCCCCAAGUCCACAACUCAUGUUUGUGAGCUUAACCUUGUCCUAUAAAGCACUUUGGAACAGGCCCAGGUUCUCCCACCAUGUACAGCUGCCAUUGACCUGGACAGUCCCGCAAGGUCCUUCAGUGGAAACCCAGAAGGGAGAGUCACUGCAUGUGAACCCUAAGGGUUCUGGAGGUCAAAGUUGCUGUGGGUGACAGGCAACCAAGACUAAGGGCAAACUUGAAACAUAAAUGAGUUAAAACCCACAAAAAUAAGACAGUUUUAAAUAACUAAA